UGUGCGCAGGCGCGGGCUGCGGAGAGGGCGCGCGAGCCUGCAGAAGGACGGACGGCUAGGGCAGAGAACGGCGCAGCGCAUCCUAGAUCGAAACCCGCCGCCCCGAAUUGCCACGUAGGCACUUGUCUCCCACCGUAUUUGCAAGUAGGCAUGGGAUAACGCCGCUGGCGAGUUUCAUAUUCGAUAAAAAACGUCCCCAGUACGCUAGCGAGUCAGUUCUGACUUUUUUUUUUUUUUAUCUUUCAUCGGCAGCGGCGAAGCUGGAGUAUAGAGUACGUACAGCAGCUACGCCGGCCAUCCGCUCACAGGUGACCUUCGUUUCACAACGGGCUAUGUAGAGGAAGAGAUUCAUUAAAUGUGUGCAUCAUGCAUUGUGCUGCGGCGGAGCGCCAUUUCCUUCUUUUUUUCUUCCGUUGCCGAAAUUGUGAUGACUUCCUGUUUUUCUUUGAACUGCACGGCGAGUCCAGCCCAGUGGUAGUGUGCCCCGCUCCAUCCAGCGUCGCCCGACAGCCGAAGCCGCCACCGCCGAGCCCGGCCGGCCGGCACGGCCCGAACUUCCCACGACGCCAUUGCCGAGGGUGCUCAUGUAUAUGCAAUACGGCGUUCAUUAAGUAACGUAAAUAAAUUCGUCCAAAUGCAAAUGAA